UUUGUACUCCCUCUGUCCCAAAAUUCUUGUCUUAAAUUUGUCUAAAUACGAAUGUAUCUAGUUACAUUUUAGUGUUAGAUACAUCCGUAUCUAAACAAAUGUAAGACAAGAAUUUUGGGACGGAGGAAAUGUUGG
rfam:Triticum aestivum genome assembly, contig: Triticum_aestivum_CS42_TGACv1_scaffold_513356_6BS